CCUACGGGUGGCAGCAGUAGGGAAUUUUGCACAAUGGGGGAAACCCUGAUGCAGCAACGCCGCGUGGGGGAUGAAGGUUUUCGGAUCGUAAACUCCUUUUGUUAGAGAAGAUAAUGCCGGAAUCUAACGAAUAAGCACCGGCUAACUCCGUGCCAGCAGCCGCGGUAAUACGGAGGGUGCAAGCGUUCCUCGGAAUGACUGGGCGUAAAGAGCGCGUAGGCGGGUUAGCAAGUCAGAUGUGAAAUCCUAUGGCUUAACCAUAGAACUGCAUUUGAAACUGGUAUUCUAGAGUAUGGGAGAGGUAGGUGGAAUUCUUGGUGUAGGGGUAAAAUCCGUAGAGAUCAAGAGGAAUACUCAUGGCGAAGGCGACCUGCUAGAACAUAACUGACGCUGAUGCGCGAAAGCGUGGGUAGCAAACAGGAUUAGAUACCCUGGUAGUC
rnacentral:rRNA from 1 species